UUGACCUGGUGUCAUGGCUCUGCUUUUUCUCUGCUGCUGUGCUCUUAAGUGUUUGCAGGUGAGCAGGUUGGAGAGCCACAGCUGCAGCUGAUUACAAUCAGUCAGGCCAGAGGAUAUAAGGAGCGGUGUUGCCACACUUCAGCGCCGGUUGAUACUCUAUUGUUGGUACCAGCCCUGGAUUCUUGCCUCUGCUUCCUGCUGCCUGAAGUGGAUUAUUACCCAACGCCACUCAACUCCUCUGAUCUCCCGCUCUCCACUGCUCACCUGUUCUGGAUUACUCUACUGCCUGCUAUUCCUCUCCACCAAACCAUCUCCGGCUCAGACCGGACUUGCCUCCCUCUCCUGCUCAAACCCCCACUUCACACAAAUCGGAAUACUCCCCCUGGCCCAGUUUGGAUCAGCGCUCUUCGUUCUUGUUAAUUUUUUUUAUAAUAAAACAUUUAUAUUUGUA